AUGGCUUCCCGUUACCUCAUCCUGGUAGUCAGCAUCGCCAUUCUCUUCCCCGGCGACGCUGCGGGCAUCCACGAGCCAGACGCGGCCGCUGUGGCUCCUUCCUGUGACGGGGAGGAGGCUGGAUUCUCUUUCCCCGUCAUUCACUGGAAGAGCAUGGCAGAGGUCGUGGAGGAGGAGAUGGAGUUGGCGGCCACUGCCACCGCGGCCGCGGCCGCCAUGGAGGAGGAGAAGUUUGUGGUGCCGUUUCGGCACCGCCGGAAGUUUUCCAUGUAUCUGGUGCAGCUCCGCAUUGGCGGCGGACCACCAGAUGAAGCGCGUUCCAGAUAUGUAUUGUUCGACACCGGCGACGACCUGUCAUGGACGCAGUGCGUUCCGUGCAAAAACUGCACCAGGAGCUACUACCUUCCGUUCAACCCAGUCAAGUCAAGCACCUACCAUCACCUUCCCUGCGAAGACCCGAUGUGCGAGCACGGGAGGAUCACAAGGUGCCAGUCCAGCCACACCUACCCCACUCCGGACAACAGUUUGUGCAAGUUCGACAAUCGGUACGGCGAUGGUAGCAAGGUGUCAGGCUACCUGGGAUCUGACGUCUUCCGCUUUGGGAACGGCAUGGCGGGGGACGACGGCGGCUACAACUUCGAGCAAGACAUCGUCUUUGGCUGCGCGCAGGAGGAACGUACCACCGCCGUCCGGGAAUACAGCUCCGGCAUUCUCGGCCUCGGCAUGGGUACGUUCUCCUUCAUCGCUCAGGCCGGCGUCGACAAAUUUUCCUACUGCGCUCUAUCGCCGGAGAGAAGAGACCUCCGGGAUCAGUGGAGGAAAACAACAAGCUACCUCCGAUUCGGCAGCCAUGCUGUCACGUCGGGCAAGAUUGUCCCGUUCAAGCAGGACGGCGCCCACUUCAUCAUCUCCCUCAAGAGCGUGACGUACCAGCGAGGAAGCCGUCUAGAUCAAAAUCAGCCAGUGCCCAUAUUUACUCGGCAAGAGGUGGCGGAGUUCCUGCCCAUUCUGGUGGAUUCAGGGUCCGCCCUGGUCUACCUUCCUGGACUCAUCUUCGACCCUCUGCUGAAGAGGAUCGACGAUGAACUCACACUCACAAGGGUGUACGAUCCCACUAAUAACCGCGCCAUCAACUGUUACGAUGGUGAGAUGUCGGAUGUGGAGGGUGUGUCGGUGACCCUGGGCUUCCAAGGAGGGGCGGAGCUGGAGUUGUUUGGCGACACACUCUUCUACGAAGGGUACGCAGGUGAUUACAUUUGUCUGGGAAUUUCUAUCGAUGACAGGAAAUCAGUGUUAGGCAUGAUUGCUCAACGUAAUACCAAUGUUGGGUAUGAUUUAGCAAACAUGGAGAUCUCAUUUAAUCGUGAGGUAUGUGCCUGA
rnacentral:rRNA from 1 species